rnacentral:rRNA from 1 species
AGUGAACGCUGGCGGUAGGCCUAACACAUGCAAGUCGAACGGCAGCACAGGAGAGCUUGCUCUCUGGGUGGCGAGUGGCGGACGGGUGAGGAAUACAUCGGAAUCUACUUUUUCGUGGGGGAUAACGUAGGGAAACUUACGCUAAUACCGCAUACGACCUGCGGGUGAAAGCAGGGGACCUUCGGGCCUUGCGCGAUUGAAUGAGCCGAUGUCGGAUUAGCUAGUUGGCGGGGUAAAGGCCCACCAAGGCGACGAUCCGUAGCUGGUCUGAGAGGAUGAUCAGCCACACUGGAACUGAGACACGGUCCAGACUCCUACGGGAGGCAGCAGUGGGGAAUAUUGGACAAUGGGCGCAAGCCUGAUCCAGCCAUACCGCGUGGGUGAAGAAGGCCUUCGGGUUGUAAAGCCCUUUUGUUGGGAAAGAAAUCCAGCCGGCUAAUACCUGGUUGGGAUGGCGGUACCCAAAGAAUAAGCACCGGCUAACUUCGUGCCAGCCGCCGCGGUAA